AGAGUUUGAUCCUGGCUCAGAACGAACGCUGGCGGCAGUAACACAUGCAAGUCGAGCGGGCCCUUCGGGGUCAGCGGCAGACGGGUGAGUAACGCGUGGGAACGUACCCUUUGGUUCGGAACAACUCCGGGAAACUGGAGCUAAUACCGGAUACGCCCUUUUUGGGGAAAGAUUUAUUGCCGAAGGAUCGGCCCGCGUCUGAUUAGCUAGUUGGUGAGGUAACGGCUCACCAAGGCGACGAUCAGUAGCUGGUCUGAGAGGAUGAUCAGCCACACUGGGACUGAGACACGGCCCAGACUCCUACGGGAGGCAGCAGUGGGGAAUAUUGGACAAUGGGCGCAAGCCUGAUCCAGCCAUGCCGCGUGAGUGAUGAAGGCCUUAGGGUUGUAAAGCUCUUUCACCCACGACGAUAAUGACGGUAGUGGGAGAAGAAGCCCCGGCUAACUUCGUGCCAGCAGCCGCGGUAAUACGAAGGGGGCUAGCGUUGCUCGGAAUCACUGGGCGUAAAGGGCGCGUAGGCGGCCGAUCAAGUCAGGGGUGAAAGCCUGUGGCUCAACCACAGAAUUGCCUUUGAUACUGUUCGGCUCGAGACCGGAAGAGGUUGGUGGAACUGCGAGUGUAGAGGUGAAAUUCGUAGAUAUUCGCAAGAACACCAGUGGCGAAGGCGGCCAACUGGUCCGGUUCUGNNGCUGAGGCGCGAAAGCGUGGGGAGCAAACAGGAUUAGAUACCCUAGUAGUCC
rnacentral:rRNA from 1 species